rnacentral:rRNA from 1 species
UACGGGGGGAGCAAGCGUUGUUCGGAUUUACUGGGCGUAAAGGGCGCGUAGGCGGUCGUGACAAGUCACUUGUGAAAUCUCCGGGCUUAACUCGGAACGGUCAAGUGAUACUGUCGGACUAGAGUACAGAAGGGGCAACUGGAAUUCUCGGUGUAGCGGUGAAAUUCGUAGAUAUUCGCAAGAACACCAGUGGCGAAGGCGGCUCACUGGCCCGGUACUGACGCUGAGGUGCGAAAGCGUGGGGAGCAAACAGG